GAUGAAGAACGUAGCGAAAUGCGAUACGUAAUGUGAAUUGCAGAAUUCAGUGAAUCAUCGAGUCUUUGAACGCACAUUGCGCCCCCUGGUAUUCCGGGGGGCAUGCCUGUCCGAGCGUCAUUGCUGCCCUCAGGCACGGCUUGUGUGUUGGGCCUCCGUCCUCCUCCCGGGGGACGGGCCCGAAAGGCAGCGGCGGCACCGCGUCCGGUCCUCGAGCGUAUGGGGCUUCGUCACCCGCUCUUGUAGGCCCGGUCGGCGCUUGCCGACACAUCAAUCUUUUUUCCAGGUUGACCUCGGAUCAGGUAGGGAUACCCGCUGAACUUAAGCAUAUCAAUAAGCGGAGGA
rnacentral:misc_RNA from 1 species